rnacentral:rRNA from 1 species
GAUGAACGCUGGCGGCGUGCCUAAUACAUGCAAGUCGAGCGAACAGAUAAGGAGCUUGCUCCUUUGACGUUAGCGGCGGACGGGUGAGUAACACGUGGAUAACCUACCUAUAAGACUGGGAUAACUUCGGGAAACCGGAGCUAAUACCGGAUAACAUAUUGAACCGCAUGGUUCAAUAGUGAAAGGCGGCUUUGCUGUCACUUAUAGAUGGAUCCGCGCCGUAUUAGCUAGUUGUUAAGGUAACGGCUUACCAAGGCAACGAUACGUAGCCGACCUGAGAGGGUGAUCGGCCACACUGGAACUGAGACACGGUCCAGACUCCUACGAGAGGCAGCAGUAGGGAAUCUUCCGCAAUGGGCGAAAGCCUGACGGAGCAACGCCGCGUGAGUGAUGAAGGUCUUCGGAUCGUAAAACUCUGUUAUCAGGGAAGAACAAAUGUGUAAGUAACUGUGCACAUCUUGACGGUACCUGAUCAGAAAGCCACGGCUAACUACGUG